ensembl:lncRNA
AGAACAAGAUGCUAAAUUUAGUGACUGAAUUAUUCAUCAUUUGAUAUUCUCUUGAUCUUAAUCUUUGACUCUCUAUGCCAGGCAGCAGUGCAUACUCUGAAGACAAACAUUUCUCGUGGCUGUUAUCCACCACACACCAACAGCAGGAGAACACUGUCUGUGGGAUGAGACCCAUCUGUGUGGACAAGGGAACGGAGUUCAUUUCUCCCUCUGCACACAUUGGAUUAAUGCUGCAGUGUAACCCCACAGCUGCUGCCUGUAGGGUACUUGACUUCAGGCUGGGCUCAGGUCUACACCCAGCAUGUGCAGCACCUCCCAGCUGCUCUCAGCAUGGCUCUCAUUGCCUCCUGCAGCUGUGCUGGGCUCCACGUGGUGCUGCCAACAGCAGGCCCCCUCUGGCUUCUGGCAGUGCAGUGCUGUGCACAGCGCCGUGGGUCACCUUCUCACACAGGGACCGGGCUGUGGCUUUCCCAUCCAUUUCCAGGUCGGAGAAGUUUAUUGCUGACAAGCUGGCUACCUGCACGUGGGGAGGGUUCAUUUUAUGCAACACGGAGAGAGAGGAGCACACACCCAGAACAUGAGCUCCCAAGCAUCAGACAACCCCGCCUCACCUGGCUCAGCUCACCUCUUGCCCGGAUGCAGCCCCAGGAUCUGUCUCCUCCUCCCUGUCUGUCUCUGCUGUUAACCCACAGUGACCUCCGUUGGGUUUUGUGUGUUUGCUUAUUUUUGUGCUAGAGGCUUUAGAAGAAGUUUGAGGAACAUCCACACACUCCAGUUACUCUAUUAUCUAAUGAUUUAGGAUGUGGUACAACUUAUCUGGCAAUAUGGAAAUCCUGUCGCGUUUGCGAAAUUACAUCUUUAGUUGUGUGAGUCAACAGAUUUAAUUUCUUGGGCAAUGAAUGGAAUGAUUUCUGACUCAUCCCUUCUUGCCUUAGAAGGUGCGUGGGCACUGCAGGGGUGGCAGGAGGGGCUGGAGGAAUUUCCUGUGGCUCAGGAACACAUCCACCCUUUAGGACAGCGUGCCGUGCGGUGGGCUCACGUGUGCUCUGCUCGUGCUUCGCAGUGGAACGUGCUGCAUGCGGUUCUGCACACAGAAAGGAGAGAAAUGUGGCAGACAAAUGGCAUUUUUAAAUCCUACCACCAUAUCCUGAGCUGUUCUUUCUUUUCCUGUCUUUUGGUCUGCUUCCCCCCCCCCCCCCCCCCCCCUUUAUUUCCUACCUGCCUGAGUGCAGGGCUGGUCUGGGUGCAGCCACUCGCAAUGAGAGAGUGAGGCCGGCACCGACAUUACAGCCUAACCAGUACAAGAGCCAGUGCUCAAUGCAUGCAUGUUAUCUCUCCAAUAUGUGAUCCCUUUAAGAUAGGAGAUGAUUGUGGAUAGAACCAGACAAAAAAUGCCUCCGUGGACACGUGAACAGAGUUUGAACAGAAAAUUCUGAUCCUGAGGCGUAUCUGGCCUCCAUCUGCUCCCAGCGAAGAGCCGUCACCUUGCAGGGGCUGACCCCAGUCAGAAACUUCCCAUCUCACAGUUCAUUCAGCUGAUAAGACUGCAAUGGCAUUACAAACACAUUUAUCAUCUCAUAUUCUCUCUCCUACCUGCACAGAUAAGGCAACGCACCCGGGAGUUAUUUACGGUCAGUGUGACCAUUCUCUGCAUGUGUGCGCUUAACAUAUAGUUUCCGUAAUAAGACUAUAAAUCGUUUCAAUUAUUCAUCUUUGCUAUAUUUUCAGCAGCAACAUUUUUUUGGUUAUUCAACGUAUUCAUCUCUGCUACAUUUUCAACAGUGACAUUUUUUAAUAUCAGGACUUCUUCCCCUACAGAGGCAGCCAUGGGUCUCUGUCGGCCGAGAUGAGAUUUUUUGGGAAGCAGUGAGAACAGCUCUCUGCAGUUACUCGACGCAGAGAUCUUUAUGCAAGGAGCUCCCCAAAGCAGAUAAUGAAGAAAUAUGUGCCUGCUUAUGUAUGCGGCUACACCAGCACUGAUGACUCACCCUUUGAUCGAGAGUCAUUUGAAGUAAGGAGCCGCCUUUAAAUGAAGCAAAGUAUCAAUGUAAAUUAAAAUAGGAAAAGAAGCAUGACAUUUCGGUCCCAGACCUACCAUUGACUCCACUAAGAACAAGAUCAGACUCAUUAUGUACCCAAUUAACCAGGCCUGGCAGCAGACACCAAGUGGGCGUGGGACGGGCUCAGCCCAGGCUGGCUGCCACUGUCCCCAUGGCGGGAUUGUUGGGACUGGGGGAGCACAGCCUUUGGGCACAGGGUUAACUCAGCUGUAGUUCAUGCCAACGUAAUGCCCUACAGUGAGUGCUGUGAUGGAGCUCUUCACAGCAAUGGAAACAGAGCAAAGGAAAAGGCAAAACUAAGGCAAGCUGGGGGUAUGGAGGGGCUGAAGGUUAUUUGGGCAAGAAGGAUCAAAAGGAAGAAAAAGAUGGGUGCACAGCCAGACCAACACCCUAUUUCAGGUUUUUGCUAUUAUUUUCCUGAAUGCUUGCUCUUUCUCCUAUGAGAAGCUCCUCUUUGCUUUACAUACCCUCUGCCCAUGUUAGUCUGUCUUGACUGAGACUUUGCUGAUGAAAUACAUUUCCAAGAAACAACAAUUACAGAGCUGUUCCAUACGGAUCAUGUCCAGCACAGCAAAUCCAAGCAUCAGAGGGUUUAUGUGGCCAGCACUCCUAUGGUGGAUUUGCUUUUUUGAUUUCCAAAUAGCAGCACAGAAGCGCAACAGUGGUCUCAGACAGUCACUUCCAAGGUUAAAUUUAGCAGUAAAAUGUUGAUGAAGUUAUUUCUUAGAGAAGAAUCGCACCAAACUCUUCCACAAUCCAGCAGACGGAUGGGAAGCAGCUCCUUGACAGCAGUGGUGCUCCAAACCUGGGCUGCAGCGCCACGAGCCGAUGCCAGCACCGGGGCUGGAGGAGUGCCUGCAAUCAUCUUCACUUUUCUGCUCCAUUUUAUCAUUCCUAAUGAGCUCUGAAAGCUCGGGGAGAACAGAGUUAUGUAACUGCAGAGGCAGUUUAUAAGCAAACGCAUUUGAAACUCCUGGGGGGAAAAGGGAGCACACUGUGUGCUGGCCCGAUCUCGAGCUUUCCGAAGUAAUUCUGUGUUUUUCCUCUGACUUUAAUUAGCUCUGAAUCAAAAAAGGAACACUCCAGAAUAAGCCUCAGUAUAAAGGGAUUUAAUUUAUUCGUACAAAUCUGAGUGCUAAAUGCCCCAUCCAUGAUGUGGGGUGCACUGAGGUGUGCAGCUGAGCACACCCGCAUGUCCGGCAGGGGAGGCAGCUGAGAUGCUGCUCCUAAUGCAUGAUACACAUUGAGGAAAUCCUAAAAAAAUACCUGCUGAGGAAACAGUGUUGUGGUGUCUGGGAAUGCUGAUGCCAACAGAUGCUCGAGCAGGAAGAGUGCAGUAUGCAAAUAGAAGAAUUCACCUGAUGAGAAAAGAUGGAAAGUAUUUCUUAGUAUAGAAACUCAAGGAGGUAUACCCAAAUGUCAGUUCUAAAUCAGAAGCACUGCAAGUAUUCAGGAACGUCAAACAAAAUGAAAGGUGAAAAAAAGAAUUUAUGAACUCUGCAGCGCCAAUGAGUAGCACCGGGUACAUACGCUCUGCUGAGACACUCGAGAGCUGCAAGGACAAGUUCGGGCUGAGUCUGUGGAGAAAGCUGGGCACCACCAUACUGAAGGAGAGGAGCAGAGGAGUGAUGGUUG